UUCUGCCUCUCACCAUCCAAAACACCCGCACACUCACUCACCCUCUCAUCAGAACAAAUGAAGACCACCAAAGACCACUCUCAUCAUGAAUCCUAGCUAGUUACGAAUCGAUGAUCACUACGCAUCAAAGACCACCCCGUCGAUCUCUCUCUCUACAUCGAUCACGGCCUCUGUUUUUGACUACCUCUUUCCACCUCUCUCUCCACUACGGGUGCUAUCCACAGCGGUUCUCCCUCGUGUGUUUACAGAUUUAGGCUUUGAGGAGAUUUCUUCUUGAGGAGUAAACUGAAGGAGAUUUCUUCUUGAGGAGAUUGAGACACUGCAAGUCUUGCUCCUGCAAUUUUAGAGGAUUUGUACCACCUCAUCAAGAAGACAGUCUCCAUUAGAAAGCAUAUGGAGAGAUUCAGGAAGGAUAAGGACUCCAAAGAAGCUUCCACCAGUUUGGAGAUAUUUUGCUUCUACAUCUAACUUAUACAAGAUAUCAAACAAAGAGAGGAUUCUGUUGUAAAAGCUGGUGUCCCCGAUGAUGGAAAAGAUUGGCCUCCAUUCUUUCGAAUUAUUCACCAUGAUAUUACCAAUGAAAUUCCUGUACACUCUCAAAGGCUACAGUAUAUGGCUUUUGCUAGUUGGUUAGGUUCCAAAUAUUUUUCCUUGCAAUCAUCUAUGCUUUACUUGGAAUACCACUCUCAUAUGUGCUGUCUCAUAUGUGCUGUGGUACAGGACCCUUUAUCGGGCAAUGAGGACAGAUUCUGCCUUGAAGUUUGGUUGGUGUUUCUUGUUUUACACGGGCAUUCUUGCUGCAAUUGAUGUCUUUCCUGACCAUGCGGUGGUAGGGGGUAUUAAGUUUUUAAAACGUAAUAUCAGCAUCGUUCAUUUGUUUUAGUGGGAGAGAAGAGGCAAAGCAACUUACACUCAGCAACAUAUUGAUGAGGUCAGAAUGGAGUGGGGAAAGUAUAGUUAAAACUUAUAUGUAAGCAAUACUAUGUUGCGAGAAGUAUUUUGGUAACCUUGAUUUUACAAGAUACAUUACUUGCUAAAUUGAGGCUUUUUUGGUUGAGAUGGCCGGAUUGUGAUGUCUAGACAUGAAUUUGUAGUUUCGGUAUGUUUUGGAUGUGGCAAUGUAUGAGAAUGAUGUGCUAUAUAGCAGCUACUAAAUGAUGAUGGAACUUAUU